AACAGAUCUAAAAACCAGGCAAAAGCAUCUGGCGAAGACCUGGAUCCAUCAUGCUGACCUUAAAUCAGUACAAGAUGCACAAGUGGUAAUGCUAGGUUAAGAAUGUUACCAUCAACAGUGAAGGAACACUGUUUCAAAAUAAAAACAGAAUGAGGUAAAAGAAAAGAAAGACAAAAGAAAAAAAAAUGCAGAAUCCAAGAAGGUAAUAGCAAGUAAGGAACUUUCUUUCUUUGUAUAAGUGAAAUUUGUAUUUGUUUUUGUUUCUAAUAUUUUGUUGCUAACAUUAUAAGGUUUAGAGAUGAUUGCAUUAUGAUUUUAUGGUAUAAAAAAAGUUAUUGUUUUCAGUUCAGAUACUUUACCAGAUAUUGUUAAGUUUGUGUCCACACAAAAGAAAAUAAUCAGGUAAAUUGAAAA